rnacentral:ncRNA from 2 species
GUCAGAUGUUGUGGCGAUGGUGCUGCCUGGACGGAAGUCCGGCGCGGCUGAAAAGGGAACACGGUGCGGACGACCCAAUCGGGGCCUAAACCGUGGCUGCCCCCGCAACUGUAAGCGGAGAGUGCAUCGGCAAUAUCCCACUGGCAUGAGCCGGGAAGGGGCCAAUGCGCAUCGACCCGCGAGCCAGGAGACCUGCCAUCAAAGUUGAUAAACC